rnacentral:rRNA from 1 species
GGCGAGUGAAGCGGGAAGAGCUCAAAUUUGUAAUCUGGCACUUUCAGUGUCCGAGUUGUAAUCUCGAGAAGUAUUUUCCGCGCCGGACCGCAUACAAGUCUGUUGGAAUACAGCGUCAUAGUGGUGAGAACCCCGUAACUGAUGCGGAUGCCCGGUGCUUUGUGAUAUACUUUCGAAGAGUCGAGUUGUUUGGGAAUGCAGCUCAAAUUGGGUGGUAAAUUCCAUCUAAAGCUAAAUAUUGGAGCAAGACCGAUAGCGAACAAGUACCGUGAGGGAAAGAUGAAAAGCACUUUGGAAAGAGAGUUAACAGUACGUGAAAUUGUUGGAAGGGAAACGCUUGAAGUCAGACUUGCUAUUCGGAGUUCAGCCGCAAGGUGUAUUCUUCGAUUUGCAGGCCAGCAUCAGUUUUUGGGGGUGGAAAAUCGUGGUUUGAAGGUAGCAGUUUCGGCUGUGUUAUAGCUUUCCACUGGAUUCAUCUUCGGGGACUGAGGAACGCAGUACGCUUUUUGCAAGGCUUUCGAGCUUUUCGUACUUAGGAUGCUGGUGGAAUGGCUUUAAACGA